ACGUCCUUCUUCUCCAUCCUUCUCAGCGAACACGACGGCGCGGCACCGGUGAUUUCUUCAUCAUCUCCUUCUCCGAUCAGAAAGUCAAACCAUCGUUGCCAACAAAAGCCUCAGCGUCCAUUUCUCAUCGAUUCAUCUCACCAAAUCUCAACUCAGUUCGCAAUCUCUCUCGGUCUCUUGUCUAUCGUGUUCGCCUUGGAUUCGAAUUUCCCCGAUCAAAAGAAACUUUCCGAUUUAUCAUCACGAUGGACAAGAAACGGAAGAACAGGAACGCUUCUCAACCGAAGAUAGCGUCCGUAGCGUCUUCAUAGAUGAGUAAACGAAGAAAUCUAGAGAUUAUCUGAAACAAACGGAUCUAUCCUUUACAGAGAACCGAUGAAGAUGAAGAUUGGUUGGAGAUUGAGCGAUGAUGAUUAUUGCUGUGAGAGAAGGUUGAAGAUUUAAGGUAAUGAACGGUUAUGGCGAAGAGUUCUGUGAUUUGCAGAAAGUGAUGAAGAGAUGAUUGUUGAAGGUUAUCGAGGUCGAAGAAGAAUAGAGAAGGUUUUACGAUUCGGUUAUGGUGAUUCCGAUGGAAAAGAGAGAGAGAAUUCGGGAAGAAACUUGAGAGAGAGGUCCUCGAGUUUGUUACCAAGUAGUGAUGAAUGAAGAGCAAUGGUGAAGUUUUCUGUCAUGAGGUGAAGAUUGAAAAUGGAGGUUUUCUGAACUCAGAGGUUUUGGAUGGCUCAAAUUGAUUGAAAGUCUUGCCGAAAAAACGUGGAGCUGCCGGUGUUGAAGACUUGAAAGCAUUCCCUGAAAACUUAGUCUUAGUGCAAAUAUGUAUGGGGUUUUUCCUGUGCAAAUUUGUGUAAUUUGUGGAUGGACUUGAAUGUUGUAAUUGUAAACUUGGACUUUAGUAACUUUUGUGAAGGAUUUGUGGAUUUGAGUAUUUUUGUAAUGAAAUUUGAUAUGGUUUGAAUGACAAGUAAAAAUUAUGUUCUUGAAAUUUGAAUGUUUGAUAUAUGCCUCUUUGUAUUUGUAACUUGAGUUUUAAGAAAUCCCACACCAAUGCUUAAGAACUUGGAUCCGAUUGAUCGAUUGAUCAAUCUUGACCACAGAUUUGAAUUUAUGGAAUAAAUUGAAUCAACAAAACAUCUUGCAUUCUUAAUGGCUCUUAGCUUCGAUCAUCAAUCCAAUUCACCUCACAUUACAAUCCAAACAAAUGAGAGAAUACACAUGUCUAACCAAUGAAUGUACAAAUCCGUCUUAUAUGCCAUGACUUGCACUUGUACUUUAAAUCACCACAACAAUAAUACAUUAAAGAAUCCUUGAGGAAGAAAGUAUUUGAGGCAUAGAGGAAACCUCAACAGAUAAACCAAUUAAUCCUCAAUCGAACCUCCACAAAUUCAAGCACUCAAAUGAGAAACCUUAUAUUAUUUUCUUGAUUUUUUGGCCGACGAAAUAAACGUCUUUGAUAAC